GCUUACGGCCAUACCUCUCUGGUUCCGCCCGAUCUCGUCUGAUCUCGGAAGCUAAGCAGAGCAGGGCCUGGUU
rnacentral:rRNA from 1 species